rnacentral:rRNA from 1 species
UAGAUACCCUAUUAUUUAGAGUUUAAAUUUUAAAUUCCUAGUAUUAUAAGUUAUGAUCUUUAAAUUGAAAGAGUUUGACGGUAAUUUAAUCAUUUUAGAGGAACCUGUUCUGUAAUUGAUAAUCCACGAUAAAUUUAACCUUAAUAUCUUGCUUGUAUACCUCUGUUUGAUGAAUGUUUUAUAAGAAUAUUUUCUUUGAUUUUUAAUUGAAAAUUAUAUCAGGUCAAGGUGCAGUUUAUGAAGGGUAGAAAUGGGUUACAUUUAAUUUAUUUAAUUAUUGGAUUAUAUUUAUUUAUUUAUUAUAUAAAAUUGGAUUUAAUUGUAAUAGGUAUUAUA